GAUGAACGCUGGCGGCGUGCCUAAUACAUGCAAGUCGAACGCUUCACUUCGGUGAAGAGUGGCGAACGGGUGAGUAAUACAUAAGUAACCUGGCAUCUACAGGGGGAUAACUGAUGGAAACGUCAGCUAAGACCGCAUAGGUGUAGAGAUCGCAUGAACUCUAUAUGAAAAGUGCUACGGGACUGGUAGAUGAUGGACUUAUGGCGCAUUAGCUUGUUGGUAGGGUAACGGCCUACCAAGGCGACGAUGCGUAGCCGACCUGAGAGGGUGACCGGCCACACUGGGACUGAGACACGGCCCAGACUCCUACGGGAGGCAGCAGUAGGGAAUUUUCGGCAGUGGGGGAAACCCUGACCGAGCAACGCCGCGUGAAGGAAGAAGUAAUUCGUUAUGUAAACUUCUGUCAUAGAGGAAGAACGGUGGAUAUAGGGAAUGAUAUCCAAGUGACGGUACUCUAUAAGAAAGCCACGGCUAACUACGU
rnacentral:rRNA from 1 species